rnacentral:lncRNA from 1 species
CUUUUGUUAAUUGGGGAAGGUCCUUUUUUGGUUAAUAUGAUACCGGAGUUUCAUCCAAGAAAUGAGAAAUGAACUUCUUUUUUCCUCUCGUUAUUGAACUAUUGGAAAGCUUGGCUGCAAUUGGGAAAAGUAAAUGAUGAUAGUACUCAAAGAUUACUUAGCUGUCAAAGAUGGAGGUACGUGACUUCUUAAAAUUCAUACAUUGGAAGGUCUCUCUUUAUCUGUACAGAAUAUCUUUCUGCAUGAAUGUUUUUUUUAACAGAAGAACAUAUGUAAGUCCUGUCUCAAUUUUUCAGUAACUACCAAAUGAUGGUAGUACUCGAAGAUCACUUAGCUGUAAAAGAUGGAGGUACGUGACUUCUGAAAAUCAUACAUUGGAGGUCUCUCUUU